UGAAAAUUAAUACAUGCCAUAAUAUUAUUAACAAGAUUUAACUUUAACGAUCCCAUAAUAUUUAAAGCUUCAAAUGAUAAUUAAUGAAAAUUAAAAUACAAAAAAACGUAAUACCACAUAAAGUUAAAAACUGAGAGCAAGAAAAUAACAUCAGAUAAUUUUAUUAUUCUCAUUUCUAAGUUUCAUGAAUUAUAAAUAUAUUGUAUAAUAUCAAAAUAUGGUACAAAUUAAUUUUUUUUUAAAAAAUCAUACUUCAAAUGUUUAGAAAAAUAUAUAAAUAAUGAAAAUUAUCUAACAAAUAAAAAUUUACAAAAAAUACAAACUUAAACAAAACAACUUAGAAGUAUUAACCGCGCGUAGCGCGGUAAGAAGCUCUAGUUAUUAUAAACAGAGAAAAAAAAGGAAAUGGAUGGUGCCUAUGGUAAAUGGUAAAAAGAUAAUUAAUACAUAAUAUACACAGAAUAUCAUAGUAAAACAUUUGCAAUGGUUAUAAACUUAAUUUCGUUGGUAGUUAUGUAUACAAAUCCUAAUUUCUGUAUGUAUUAACCAUUGUGUGGAUUUUUUUAAAUUGUAUGGAAUUCUUGUUUGGGUCAAUUAGCCAAAUAGCUAAAAUUUGAAGUGAAAUUAAGAGAAUGGCAUUGAUUUUGACGUAAUUGGGUAACUAACAUUUAAGGUCCAUUUGAUCCGGUAAUACCCUUGGUUGGUGCAAGUAACCGGUGAAAGAUAGAAAGUUAGAUGACGUAAACAAAUUGAGGUAUGGCUAAUAUUUAAAUCACAUCUGAGUGAAUAUAAGGAACCACGUCACAUAUUUAUGACCACAUACAUAUGUUUUCAGUGUUCUAUUCCACGUCACCGAAAUAAAACAGAUUUCUAACCUCACUCACAUACUCUAAUACUAAACAUUAUCCCAAAUCUAACCCAUAUAUACUAAACAUUAUCCAAAUCCCACCCCAACCCCUUAAUACUAAACCCUAAACCUUAAUCAAUAAACCCUAAACUCAAAUACAUAACUCUAAACCCAAAUAUAAAUUCUAAACCCAAAUAUAAAUUCUAAACCCAAAUAGAAUGAAACAAAAUAAAUAAUAUGGUAUAUAUUGGUAAAAUUAUGAAAUGUCUAUAAUUUCGUAGAAGAAGUUGAUGUUGAUCCCAACUAUACCUCCUCAUCUUUUAAAUAAUUAACCAUAAACUAUAUUCACUAAUCCCUAAACUCAAAUAUAAACCAUAAACCCAAAUAGAAUGUAACAAAAUAAAUAGCAUGGUAUAUAUUGGUGAAAUUAUGAAAUAUCUAUGAUUUCAUGGAAAAGGUUAAUGUGACCCAACUGUACCCAACUAUACCCUAAACUUUAAUCCCUAAACCCUAAAUAUAAACCCUACACGGAAAUAUAAACCCUAAUCCAAUGUCAACCUCAAUCUUUCAUAAACUAAACCCGAAUGGAACAAAAUGAUGAAAUAUCUAUGAUUUCAUGGAAGAAGUUAAUGCUGAUCCCCCAACCAUAUCCCCUCACCUUCUAAAUACUAAACCCUAAAUUAUAUUCACUAAACCCUAAACCAAAAUAUAAACCCUAAACCCAAAUAUAAAUCCUAAACCCAAAUAUCAAAGUC
rnacentral:lncRNA from 1 species